AGUGAACGCUGGCGGUAGGCCUAACACAUGCCAGUCGAACGGCAGCACAGUAAGAGCUUGCUCUUACGGGUGGCGAGUGGCGGACGGGUGAGGAAUACAUCGGAAUCUACUUUUUCGUGGGGGAUAACGUAGGGAAACUUACGCUAAUACCGCAUACGACCUACGGGUGAAAGCAGGGGAUCUUCGGACCUUGCGCGAUUGAAUGAGCCGAUGUCGGAUUAGCUAGUUGGCGGGGUAAGGCCCACCAAGGCGACGAUCCGUAGCUGGUCUGAGAGGAUGAUCAGCAACACUGGAACUGAGACACGGUCCAGACUCCUACGGGAGGCAGCAGUGGGGAAUAUUGGACAAUGGGCGCAAGCCUGAUCCAGCCAUACCGCGUGGGUGAAGAAGGCCUUCGGGUUGUAAAGCCCUUUUGUUGGGAAAGAAAAGCAGCAGGUUAAUACCCCGCUGUUCUGACGGUACCCAAAGAAUAAGCACCGGCUAACUUCGUG
rnacentral:rRNA from 1 species